GCUCAUGGCCAUACCACCCCUGGAAUUCAUCUAGUCUUAGAAGCUAAGCAGGGUCUAACCUGGUUAGUAGUUGGACUGGAGACCACCUGGAAAUCCUGGGUGCUAUGGGUU
rnacentral:rRNA from 1 species